UACGGAGGGUGCAAGCGUUAUCCGGAUUCACUGGGUUUAAAGGGUGCGUAGGUGGAUUGGUAAGUCAGUGGUGAAAUCUCCGGGCUUAACUCGGAAACUGCCAUUGAUACUAUCAGUCUUGAAUACCGUGGAGGUCAGUAGAAUAUGUCAUGUAGCGGUGAAAUGCUUAGAUAUGACAUAGAAUACCAAUUGCGAAGGCAGCUGGCUACGCGAAUAUUGACACUCAGGCACGAAAGCGUGGGGAUCAAACAGG
rnacentral:rRNA from 1 species